CAAAAAAAAUAUUGAUAACGUCUUUGUGUUAUGAUUAUACUAUGUUAACUAUAUGUUUUCUGUUAUGAUUAUACUAUGUUUUCGUGUAAUGAUAGCACUGGAUGGAAAGUAUAAAUUCUUGAAGAUUUCGGGUUUCUCUCUCUUCUCUCUCCCCCGAGUUCGCCUUAGCCAUCGCCCAAAAAAGAAAAUUCCCGUAUGCUUUCUCCGGUGAUCGGUGCUCCUCGCCGUAGCUGUGAGAGGGCCCCUAGCUCUUUAUUUCGUCUGUUUAUGCUUUCGUUUGUGUCGUUGCGGCGAGAUCUGGUGGAUCGAUGGUGAGGUUAAAAACUCAGCGGAAGAGAUGGUCUUCACAGUGAGGAUUGCUCGACGGUCUUCUGAGCGUUUUGGUUCGUCCUUCCCCGGCGGUUUCAGGAGAAGUUUCUUUUACCGUUGUCAGAUCCAGCGUUGCCCUGACCUCUUAGGCGAUGCUUCUCGGUUCUGUGGCCAUGGGUUCUUGUUCUCUUCGGGUUGAAUCGGGUUAGAUCUGAUUGCAUUUUGGAAGGCUUCUAUCUAGACGGUAAAGGACGCUGCAGUCGUCGUCGUCGCAUCCGGAAGCGUGUUCGUGUCUUCGUUUGUCGGAUUAUGAAGGCUUGGUUCUGGUUCUGAGAGAUCAGCUCUCAAAAGGAUAGGAGGUGGCUGAUGUUAUUGUUUGGAAUGGCCGUGGGCGUUCUUGAUAAAUCUCUUCUGCUCGACUUCAGAGAAGAAUUCCUCUUGCUUAUUAAGACUAGUAUGUUUUAGUAAGGUUUAAGUCUAGUUGCCUUUGCUUAUGGUUUAAAGGGUUUGUGCUCUUUCGUUUUAGGUUUUAGUUUUUGGCUUUGCUUUAUGUAUUUUGUGUUCAUAUUUAGACUCCGGGGAAUUCUCGUUUUCCCCCGGGUUAAAUUCUGGGGACAUUGUGUUGUCCGCCGGCUUUGUAUCUCA